rnacentral:pre_miRNA from 1 species
UAGGUGGAUUUGAGGACUUCAAUGUGCAUAUUUGGAGGAUUUUGAAGAAUUUCACAUGCAUAUUUGGAUGAUUUGAAGACUUUGACU